CACAGACUAGCUAAUCUUAAUCCUCUCACUGACUUCACCAAGUCAGAUUUGGAUGGACUAAAAACAAGUCGGUCCUACUGACAAGUCAUCAAUCCUCCCACUGACUUCAUCAAGUCAUGUCGAGGAUAAAGACAAGUCAAAUUAGGGGUACCUAAAUCAGUCAAACUAAUUUUCUAGUAAGCAUGGGUCAACCCUAAUAUUAAGCAAUCUAAUCAAAACUUGAUUCAUCAUAUUGGCUA
rnacentral:lncRNA from 1 species